GCAGCAUAGGAGCUUGCUCCUGAUGGCGAGUGGCGAACGGGUGAGUAAUAUAUCGGAACGUGCCCUAGAGUGGGGGAUAACUAGUCGAAAGAUUAGCUAAUACCGCAUACGAUCUACGGAUGAAAGUGGGGGAUCGCAAGACCUCAUGCUCCUGGAGCGGCCGAUAUCUGAUUAGCUAGUUGGUGGGGUAAAAGCUCACCAAGGCGACGAUCAGUAGCUGGUCUGAGAGGACGACCAGCCACACUGGGACUGAGACACGGCCCAGACUCCUACGGGAGGCAGCAGUGGGGAAUUUUGGACAAUGGGGGCAACCCUGAUCCAGCAAUGCCGCGUGAGUGAAGAAGGCCUUCGGGUUGUAAAGCUCUUUUGUCAGGGAAGAAACGGUUGCAGCUAAUAUCUGCGACUAAUGACGGUACCUGAAGAAUAAGCACCGGCUAACUACGUGCCAGCAGCCGCGGUAAUACGUAGGGUGCAAGCGUUAAUCGGAAUUACUGGGCGUAAAGCGUGCGCAGGCGGUUGUGUAAGACAGAUGUGAAAUCCCCGGGCUCAACCUGGGAAUUGCAUUUGUGACUGCACGGCUAGAGUGUGUCAGAGGGGGGUAGAAUUCCACGUGUAGCAGUGAAAUGCGUAGAU
rnacentral:rRNA from 1 species